rnacentral:tRNA from 1 species
GGGUCGAUAGCUCAGUUGGUAGAGCAGCGGACUCUUAAUCCGCGGGUCACAGGUUCGAGCCCUGUUCGGCCUACCA